GCUGAAAUCCAAAGGCACCUAUGCCCAGGACUCCCCAGAUUGUCCUGCCCAGCACAGCAUCAGCUCCUGCCUACGAGAAAGAAAAUACUGAAAUAAUCUCCAAACGCGUGUAAGUGCCUGUAAGUUGGCCGUCCUGGACUUAAACCUGAAGCCUGGCCUGAUACACUCCAACCCAGCUGUCAGUGACAG